GGCUGGGCUGCUGAAUGCUGCUCUGUGCUGCCAGGUGCUGCCGGGCCAGAUUUUCCCGUGGUAGCGGCAUCCCUCCAACAUGUGCCCCCGCGGCCUCCUGUGCGCUGCGGCCGCCCCCACACCGUCCACACUCCGCGUUUAUAGCAACCAUGUUGGCCCAAAGGCUGCAAACACACGGCUGAGGCGACAUGCGCAGCACUGCUGCAGGGCCGCUGAGAGCAGAGAGAGAGCUCGGGAUUUAAAACCCUUCAGCGUCCAACAGCUGAGCUCCAGCCGGCUGUGCUGUAAGUCAGAGCUCUCAGUGGCUGGUGGCCAGUGCUGACUGGGAAGACUUCCAGCCUCAGAGGGACUGUGAUUAACCCAGGAGCGGUCAAACUCGGCAGGACGCCCUCCACAACCAGCCGCUGCCAUUUAUCCACUUUCCAAUGAAACCAAUUACUUUUACAGCAAGCCUCGGUGCCGACACUAUAUGUGUUGUUCUAGCAGACCAAUAGAGUAUAGCUGUGAAAGGAGAGGCAGACGUGAAGUAGGAAACCCUCCUGAGCUGCUUCAACAGGCUGUAAAAUAUACCUAAAGUCAGUUCCCAUGGUGACUAACUGAUGUGUGGGAGAAGCCGGCAGGACACACAAAACCUUUUCUAAAACUUACCUUUGUUAUUGUUUGUAUUUCUACUGCUCAUCUUCUGAAAUUAGAACAGUUGUAAUUGUAGGAAUUGUAGCUUGGGAUGAUGACACAUUUAAACUUUUAUUUUGCAUUGUGAUUACUGCUUAAAAAACUGCAGGGGAUUAAAGUGAAUCCGCUAUUAAAGCAUUAAGCGAUUAAAGCAUCACCCUAGGUUCCGCAACCCAGGGUCCCAGGGUCCCAGGGUCCCAGGGUUCCAGGGUCCCAGGGUCCCAGGGUUCCAGGGUCCCAGGGUCCCAGGGUCCCAGGGUCCCAGGGUUCUAGCCCUGGGUUUCUGUGUUUGUGGCAAACACAAGUUUAUGAUGCUUACAUAUAUUGUUCAUCCAGACAAUCUCGACAGAUGAAAACCACUUUGUGAUGUUUGGAGCGUAAAUUUAAUGCGUAGCAGUAAGAAGCUAAUGAACGGACGACAUCACGGUCACAUGACUUAAACGUCACCACCACUAAGAGUCUUGCAGAAAUGUUAAACUUAUUUUGAAGUAAAUUAUUACUUUGGCCACUGUGCCUGCAUCAAGUGGUCAUGCAGCUUAAGAUACAGAAGCAUGUCGAGGUGUCUGACCACAGAUCAGGUUCCUUGGAUCAAAUAAAAUGAUGAUGGUGAACACU